GACGUAGGGCGCGAGCGUUGUCCGGAUUUAUUGGGCGUAAAGAGCGUGUAGGCGGUUAGGUAGGUCCGUUGUGAAAACUCGAGGCUCAACCUCGAGACGCCGAUGGAAACCCCCUAACUAGAGUCCGGAAGAGGAGAGUGGAAUUCCUGGUGUAGCGGUGAAAUGCGCAGAUAUCAGGAAGAACACCCGUGGCUAAGGCGGCUCUCUAGUACGGUACUGACGCUGAGACGCGAAAGCGUGGGGAGCGAACAGG
rnacentral:rRNA from 1 species